AAAGUAACUUUACUCUUUGUUAUUUUCGUUUAGCUGCUGCUACUGCCUUCCUCCUCCUAUUUCCAUUUCCAAAACCCAAAUCCCUAGCUCACCACCACCUUCUAGCUCACCACCACCACCACCUCCACUGUCCAAUUGUCCGUUGGCCACCUCCAAUUAGCCUCAAGCUCAGCUCAGCAACUUCAUCAUUUUUGCUUCUUCAUUUGCUGUCUUCUUCACGUUCGAACAGUCUUAUACAUGUGGACGAUGGGUUUAAUGAGUAUGAAAGUGCUGCCAAACGUCAAAAGUCUACCACUUCAAAGGUGUGGGAUGAAAUGACAAAGCUUGAAUGCGAGAGCAAAAAUGAAUUAGAGGCACAAUGUAAUCACUCACUAGGAGUGAAAAGUCACAGUUGGACAUUUAUUUGGAAGAACCGGAGCUUGAGUUGAAUAGUCAAAUAGAUGUUUUGGAUUAUUGGAGCAAAAGUUCAGUUCGAUAUAAUGAGCUUUCAUUAUUAGCUCGUGAUCUUUUGGCAAUUCCAAUAUCAACUGUACCUUUCGAAUUGGCUUUUAGCAUGGGUAAGAAAGUUAUCACACCUUUAAGGAGUUCACUUAAGCCAAAAACGGUUCAAGCCGUUAUUUGCUUGGAUGAUUAGAUGCGAGCUAAGGGAUUUUCAACAGAAAUUGGUUCCAAGAAUGAUGAUAACGAUGAGGACGAUGAGGACGAUGUUUCUUCGAUUGCUUUUUAGGUUUUUGGUGUUGUUGGCGAUGCUGUUUUUUGUGCUAUUUUGUUGCUAUUUGGUCUUUUUUUGAUGUUUGUUU